rnacentral:rRNA from 1 species
AGUGGGGAAUAUUGGGCAAUGGGCGGAAGCCUGACCCAGCGACGCCGCGUGCGGGAAGACGGCCUUAGGGUUGUAAACCGCUGUUGUACGGGAAGAAGAAUUUGACGGUACCGUACGAGUAAGGUCCGGCUAACUACGUGCCUGCAGCCGCGGUAAUACGUAGGGACCGAGCGUUAUCCGGAAUUACUGGGCGUAAAGGGAGCGUAGGCGGUUAUGCAGGUCAUACGUUAAAGGAUCCGGCUCAACCGGAGAGAUGCAUAUGAAACCGUAUAACUUGAGGAUAUCAGAGGAAAAGGGAAUUACCAUUGUAGGGGUGAAAUCCGUAGAGAGUGGUAAGAAUGCCGGUGGCGAAGGCGCUUUUCCGGGGUAUACCUGACGCUGAGGCUCGAAAGCCAGGGGAGCGAACCGGAUUAGAUACCCGGGUAGUCCUGGCCGUAAACGAUGUUCACUAGGUGUAGGAUGUCGACAGGCAAACUGUGCUGAAGCUAACGCGAUAAGUGAACCGCCUGGGGAGUACGUCCGCAAGGAUG